rnacentral:rRNA from 1 species
CCUACGGGAGGCAGCAGUGGGGGAUAUUGCACAAUGGGGGGAACCCUGAUGCAGCGACGCCGCGUGGGUGAAGGAGCGUUUCGGCGCGUAAAGCCCUAUCGGCAGGGAAGAAGAUGACGGUACCUGGCCAAGAAGCACCGGCUAACUACGUGCCAGCAGCCGCGGUAAUAAGGAGGGGGCAAGCGUUAUCCGGAUUUACGGGGGGUAAAGGGGGCGGAGACGGCAAUGCAAGCCAGGAGGGAAAGCCCGGUGCCCAACCCCGGGACUGCUCUUGGAACUGCAUGGCUGGAGUACAGGAGGGGCAGGCCGAAUUCCUAGUGUAGCGGUGAAAUGCGUAGAUAUUAGGAGGAACCCCGGUGGCGAAGGCGACCUGCUGGACUGUGACUGACGUUGAGGCCCGGAGGCGUGGGGAGCAAACAGGAUUAGAUACCCUUGUAGUC